rnacentral:rRNA from 1 species
AACGAACGCUGGCGGCAUGCCUAACACAUGCAAGUCGAGCGAGCCCUUCGGGGCCAGUGGCCCACGGGUGCGUAACCCGUGGGAACCUUCCCUUAGGUUCGGAAUAACUCCCCGAAAGGGGUGCUAAUACCGGAUAAUGUCUUCUGACGAAAGAUUUUUUGCCCAUGGAUGGGCCCGCGUUGGAUUAGCUAGUUGGUAGGGUAAUAGCCUACCAAGGCGACGAUCCGUAGCUGGUCUGAGAGGAUGAUCAGCCACACUGGGACUGAGACACGGCCCAGACUCCUACGGGAGGCAGCAGUGGGGAAUAUUGGACAAUGGGCGAAAGCCUGAUCCAGCCAUGCCGCGUGAGUGAUGAAGGCCUUAGGGUUGUAAAGCUCUUUUACCCGGGAUGAUAAUGACAGUACCGGAAGAAUAAGCCCCGGCUAACUUCGUG